rnacentral:rRNA from 1 species
UACAGAGGUCCCGAGCGUUGUUCGGAUUCACUGGGCGUAAAGGGUGCGUAGGUGGCGAGGAAAGUCGGAUGUGAAAGCUCGGAGCUCAACUCCGAAAUGGCAUUGGAAACUACCUUGCUCGAGGGUUGGAGGGGGGACUGGAAUUCUCGGUGUAGCAGUGAAAUGCGUAGAUAUCGAGAGGAACACCAGUGGCGAAGGCGAGUCCCUGGACAACUCCUGACACUGAGGCACGAAGGUCAGGGGAGCAAACGGGG